GGAUUUUGCAGAGAAAGUAACUGUGACUCCAAAGGUGAAAUGUCUUAUCCCAGGUGACACAGCCAGUAAGUGGUUCAGGUGUGGGGACAGAGCUGAAGACCAAGCAACACAGGUAGCACCUCUGAGGUUGGUGGGGACCCCAAGACCACCUACCCACAGGAAGUAGGACUCCCUCCUAACCAUGUGAGCUAAGCUAUAAAGACCAGCAUGGCGCCUGGGAUUACUAUGGAUUCAAAAAACUUUGCAAAAAUAUUUUGGAGGCUGGACUCAUCACCAGGUACCCAUCAUAAGGUCUUUAUUCAUUCAAAGCCUUGAUCAACUGAGCACUAAGCAUCACCUCAUCAAAAUCACCUGGAGUGCAGUUGGAGGCUGCAGUGAG
rnacentral:lncRNA from 1 species